GUAUUUGUUCCUCCUGAUUUUGCAGUACAUAGUCUUCUUGGUUUGCUUCAAAAUAUGGAGUCCGUGCAAUACUUGAACCUGAAGCCACAAAAAGCAAGGAAAAAAAAAAAAAAAGAAAAAAAAGAAGGCAUUGAACGCUGAUUUACCUAAACUGAGGAAGAUCAACAAUGAAAGUAAUGCAGUAUGGAGGCGAACGCAGGACCAGAGAUUUGAUAUGAAAUGGGUUUCUGUAAAGAAGAAUGAGCCUUUUUGGCGGCAAGCAAUAUAUACAGGGAGGUGGGGCGACAGAAUCUAAGCUUUCUUGGAUCAUCAAGAGUGAGAAAGAAGGGGAGGAGAAUAUGAGGAAACUUGAGAGAGGAGGCAUUGUAUAUUUGAAUAGUUGGGAAGCGCAAGCAAGGGAAGGUUUAGAAAACGAAAAAAGGUAUAUGGAGAAGGAAAGGCCCGCUGUGAACUCUAUACUGAUUCUGCAGUUUCGUGUGGUGCCAUUUCCCUUCUCUUUAGAGCUUCAGCUUUAUGUUACUGAAUCAGAAAGUUAAAGGUGGUGUUGGGUUAUGGGUUAUGGGUUAUGGCCUAUGGGCGAUAGAUUUGUGUGCACAAGUUGCAUCUUGUAGUUUGUGAUCAAGAAUAUUGUCCCCUGGAGAAUCUGUUUAGGUACCGAAACAAGAAUCAAAUCCUUCUCUCGCUGCCUCCAUUUUCUGUUGUGGCAUUUGAUUCCUUCUUUUAGAAACAAGCCCACUUAUCCACUCAACUGCCAGAUACUACUGAUCCAAUAUUCUAACACAACACAACUGACAUCUCUCCGCAGACUUUCUGAGUGGUUCGUAUGAUCAUACUGCCGCAAACCACACACCCAGCUCUUAGCCCCCAAACUACUUCCCAUAUUUGGGGCCUUUUCUUACAAUUUUGGUUGUUUUUUUCUUGGUAUGAUAUCUCUGGUUUGGGUAUUGCUGUUGAGUUCAACGAUGGAGAGAUCGAAUUAUUGGUGUUUUAAAAUCAUUUGUGAAAUUGAAUGACUGAAUGUUGAAAGGUUAAUACUAUAUAUUUCAGAAAAGCUAAUGAAAUUGUAUCAACU